ACUGUUGAGCGCAACAACCUUCACUGUUCUUGCGUUGUUGGUGUUCUGCGACGAUCUGCGGCGGUUUAUGGGGCUUGGGAAUUGCUCCAGCAAAUGCCGUUCGAACCAACUGCUUCUAUAUGGGGAUCUUUGCUUGGGUCAUACAGUAUAUAAAUGUUAGAUUAGCCAGGGAAGCAGCUGAAACGGUACUACCUACUUGAACCUGGCAGUGAUGGUAUCCAUGUUUUGCCAGAGGAAACUGGGAGAGUUUCGAUGGCAAGGAAAUCUUUUAAGCAUAGGGGUACAAACAAAGAGUGAGGCAGGUGUUGAAUCGACACAAAGCGUAAAAUUUUAGGAUUUUGUUGUGUUGUUGGAGGUGGGGAGAGCACCCAAUAAUCAGUACCAGUGAUUUCACCAUUUUAAGGAUGGCUCGUGUUCUUGUGGGGGCUUCUGGUGAUUGAAGACCGAAUGACAAGUAGCAAUCAUCAUCAAGUGGUACUCCCAUCAUGUAGCAAAUUAUUGCCCUGCCAGUAGUGCCACUGUUGCUCUAAAGAUCUGUGUCAGGACUUAUAUUGAUGGAUUCGUCAUUCGAUCAAUAAUGUCAUGCUUGUGGCUCCAUUCGGUGCAAUAUCGUGCGCUAUCAUCUGCACUGUGUAUAGCAAAUGGAAGCGCAGGGG
rnacentral:sRNA from 1 species